rnacentral:rRNA from 1 species
GGGGUAGUGCUUGCACUACUGCCGGCGAGUGGCGAACGGGUGAGUAAUAUAUUGGAACGUACCGAGUAAUGGGGGAUAACUUACCGAAAGGUAAGCUAAUACCGCAUACGCUCUAAGGAGGAAAGCGGGGGAUCUUCGGACCUCGCGUUAUUCGAGCGGCCAAUAUCUGAUUAGCUAGUUGGUGGGGUAAAGGCCUACCAAGGCGACGAUCAGUAGCGGGUCUGAGAGGAUGAUCCGCCACACUGGGACUGAGACACGGCCCAGACUCCUACGGGAGGCAGCAGUGGGGAAUUUUGGACAAUGGGGGGAACCCUGAUCCAGCCAUGCCGCGUGUCUGAAGAAGGCCUUCGGGUUGUAAAGGACUUUUGUUCGGGAAGAAAAGAGUAGUGCUAAUACCACUGCUUGAUGACGGUACCGAAAGAAUAAGCACCGGCUAACUACGUGCCAGCAGCCGCGGUAAUACGUAGGGUGCGAGCGUUAAUCGGAAUUACUGGGCGUAAAGCGAGCGCAGACGGUUAGUUAAGCAAGAUGUGAAAUCCCCGGGCUCAACCUGGGAACUGCGUUUUGAACUGGCUAGCUAGAGUAUGUCAGAGGGGGGUAGAAUUCCACGUGUAGCAGUGAAAUGCGUAGAGAUGUGGAGGAAUACCGAUGGCGAAGGCAGCCCCCUGGGAUAAUACUGACGUUCAUGCUCGAAAGCGUGGGUAGCAAACAGGAUUAGAUUCCCUGGUAGUCCACGCCCUAAACGAUGUCGAUUAGCUGUUGGGCAGCUUGACUGCUUAGUAGCGUAGCU